rnacentral:rRNA from 1 species
UACGUAGGGUGCAAGCGUUGUCCGGAAUUACUGGGCGUAAAGCGCGCGCAGGCGGCUCGUUAAGUGUGGUGUGAAAUGCCGGGGCUCAACCCCGGAACUGCUUUACAUACUGGCGAGCUUGAGGGAUGCAGAGGUUUGUGGAAUUCCUGGUGUAACGGUGAAAUGUGUUGAUAUCAGGAGGAACACCCAUGGCGAAGGCAGCAAACUGGGCAUCAUCUGACGCUGAGGCGCGAAAGCGUGGGGAGCAAACAGG